UCCUACGGGAGGCAGCAGUGGGGAAUCUUGCGCAAUGGGCGAAAGCCUGACGCAGCAACGCCGCGUGGAGGAUGAAGGCCCUUGGGUUGUAAACUCCUGUCGGCUGGGAAGAAGUCGUUCGCGGUCAAUACCCGCGGGCGUUGACUGUACCAGCAAAGGAAGCCCCGGCUAACUCUGUGCCAGCAGCCGCGGUAAUACAGAGGGGGCCAGCGUUAUUCGGAAUUAUUGGGCGUAAAGGGCGCGUAGGCGGCCAUGCGUGUCUUCCGUGAAAUCCCUCGGCUCAACCGAGGACGUGCGGAAGAAACUGCAAGGCUCGAGUCCAGAAGAGGGGGGCGGAAUUCCCAGUGUAGCGGUGAAAUGCGUAGAUAUUGGGAGGAACACCGGUGGCGAAGGCGGCCCCCUGGGCUGGUACUGACGCUGAUGCGCGAAAGCGUGGGUAGCAAACGGGAUUAGAAACCCUGGUAGUCCC
rnacentral:rRNA from 1 species